rnacentral:rRNA from 1 species
UACGAAGGGGGCUAGCGUUGUUCGGAAUUACUGGGCGUAAAGCGCACGUAGGCGGAUACUUAAGUCAGGGGUGAAAUCCUGGAGCUCAACUCCAGAACUGCCUUUGAUACUGAGAAGCUUGAGUCCGGGAGAGGUGAGUGGAACUGCGAGUGUAGAGGUGAAAUUCGUAGAUAUUCGCAAGAACACCAGUGGCGAAGGCGGCUCACUGGCCCGGUACUGACGCUGAGGUGCGAAAGCGUGGGGAGCAAACAGG